CUGGACAUCACUCACCUCUGUCACACAUGUUCAGACUCUGUCCACUGUUGUGGUCCUACUGAAGCUGUGAUCCGAUUGGUCCUCUCUGCUCUGGUGGGCGUGGCUACUGUCAUUAUUCUGGUUUAUGACAUCAGAUCCAGAAGAGCUGAACGAGAUCAAGCUCAUAUUCACACAUCAGGAAGUAUUGAAAUCUAAAGCAGAACGCUGAACUUUAAAGAUUCUUCAAUUGUGUUUUUGUCAUAAUAAACACUGAUGAUUAUUUGAGCUUCUCUCUCUCUCAGUGCCAGAUUUUUUAAAAUCUUAUUUGUAAGGCUUUGUUUAUAUUUCUA